GGGGACGUAGCUCAGUUGGGAGAGCGCCGAUCUGGCAGACCGGAGGUCGCGGGUUCGAAUCCCGCCGUUUCCA
rnacentral:tRNA from 1 species